UGUCUUACGUGAUGGGCUUUGGUAAUACGUCGUCGUGCCUGGCCCGAAAAUACGUGAGACGCCCCUAACCCUAGCUGCUCGAUUGGAAUUUGAAUAGUCUCUUCUUCUCUGCGGCGCCUGACCUUUGCGAUCCCUUCCAGUGGAGAGAAUUAGGGUUUAGUCGUUGUCUCUAUCUCUGCGAUGAAUGAGCUCGGGCAACAAUGGAGAUCAAGCAGCCGUCGUUUCGUAUUUGGUACUUAACCCCCUAUCUUUUUACAUUCAUUACCGUAGGACCGUCUCUACACUGGUUCACCGGUGCAGCCAGAACUUCGUGCUUUCAGACUCAUUUCUCAGAAUCUGGUUCAGUGAUUCAACCAGUCUAGAUGUGCUAAUCUCUCAUUCCUGAAGAACGUGUCCAGGUUCGGUGAUUAUGAAUCGCUUCUUGGCCUAAACAAUACCAAGCACGCAUCUACCAGCCUCUCAGGCGUUAUUGGUGAGCUCACUGCUGUGAGAAGUACAGUGAGUGACAUUCCUCAAGGACAAGAGCGUAUCAAGAUCGACAGUAACUCUCUUCUAUAGUUGAAUUUAUUCAAUACUUUCAGAAUUAUCUUACUUUAAUAUAUCAUUGAAUUUUUGAUGUUCUGUUUUCCUUUUCACACUCAUAUCUCUGUUACUUUGGGUACGUGUGAGGAGCGCCUAAUAUUCUUCAAACACACAUGGAAUAUUUUCAUGCAGGACAUUGUUCUUGGAUGUCACCUCAGGAACACAUGCUGGUUUCCAAAGACCUGGGAACACCCAUGUUCAUAUUUUCUUAGAGGCUAUGCAAAGGUUGAACCUCUUACUUCAGCUGAGAUCAAUGAUUUCGUCAUCAUUUCGAAGCCUCAGAUAGGCUGGUGUUAUGUCUCUUGCUUUAGAUGGACAAAGAACUUCCAACGAACGGUCUCAUCCUUUACUUGCGUGACCUGCAAUAACUUGGUUUGCUCAGGUACCGUGUGGAGGGUGUCUUUGUUGGAUUCGAUGGUGAGAUGACAAAACUACAUACCUGUGAGGCUGGUAAUUUAAGUGUAGGAACAUCUCCAAGUGGUGUCGCCAUCAAGAAACCUCAGGCAUCAAAUUCUUUAAAGGUGGUGAAGAUGCCACGUAAGGAAUAGGUGAAGCUGAGAUUGUGAUGCGGAUGGAGUACUUAUAUUUCAAAAAUGAGUAUGUAUUGGUUUUUAUUUUAGAAUAUGUUCUCUAAUGUAGUUUUUGGUAUGGUUUAUUAAAAAUCUAAAACAAUAUAAAAAAGGCCUUUGGAGUUUUUCAUCA